GGGGAAUAUUGCACAAUGGAGGAAACUCUGAUGCAGCAACGCCGCGUGAGUGAUGAAGGUCUUCGGAUUGUGAAGCUCUGUCUUCUGGGACGAUAAUGACGGUACCAGAGGAGGAAGCCACGGCUAACUACGUGCCAGCAGCCGCGGUAAUACGUAGGUGGCAAGCGUUGUCCGGAUUUACUGGGCGUAAAGGAUGUGUAGGCGGAUAUUUAAGUGAGAUGUGAAAUCCCCGGGCUUAACUUGGGGGCUGCAUUUCAAACUGGAUGUCUGGAGUGCAGGAGAGGAGAACGGAAUUCCUAGUGUAGCGGUGAAAUGCGUAGAGAUUAGGAAGAAUACCAGUGGCGAAGGCGGCUUUCUGGACUGUAACUGACGCUGAGGCAUGAAAGCGUGGGGAGCAAAC
rnacentral:rRNA from 1 species